rnacentral:rRNA from 1 species
GACGAACGCUGGCGGCGUGCUUAACACAUGCAAGUCGAACGGAAAGGCCCUGCUUUUGUGGGGUGCUCGAGUGGCGAACGGGUGAGUAACACGUGAGUAACCUGCCCUUGACUUUGGGAUAACUUCAGGAAACUGGGGCUAAUACCGGAUAGGAGCUCCUGCUGCAUGGUGGGGGUUGGAAAGUUUCGGCGGUUGGGGAUGGACUCGCGGCUUAUCAGCCUGUUGGUGGGGUAGUGGCUUACCAAGGCUUUGACGGGUAGCCGGCCUGAGAGGGUGACCGGCCACAUUGGGACUGAGAUACGGACCAGACUCCUACGGGAGGCAGCAGUGGGGAAUAUUGCACAAUGGGCGGAAGCCUGAUGCAGCAACGCCGCGUGCGGGAUGACGGCCUUCGGGUUGUAAACCGCUUUCGCCUGUGACGAAGCGUGAGUGACGGUAAUGGGUAAAGAAGCACCGGCUAACUACGUG